ensembl:lncRNA
AUUUUCAAAAGAUGACAUUGUGAAAUCAAGGUAAAUACAACAAAAAAAACGAAAAAACUAACAAACGGUGACGUGAUUGUUUUACACUUUUUUAAUUUUUGGUGAAUACAAAAAAUACCUUUGGGACCAGAUAAAUAAACAUAUUUCAUGAAAUAAUAUAACUAAUAUUGAAGAAAGCACAACACCUAUUCAGAAGAGUACUACUAACUUUUGCUAUUCCAGUUAAUAUUUGGACAAAUAGUUUAGACAAUAUAUUUUGUGAUAAUUCAUACAUUUAUAUCAAUACAAACUUUAUAGUGGUUUUAAGGACGAAAACAAAAAAGUUGAUUCGGCUCUGCCCUUGGAUGAGGGACCAGGCUUCCUAGCCACCUCCAAGGCAGAACAAUGUGUUGAUAUAAGUCGUAGCCUCAUGCUGACGGAAUGCAAUGUAGUGUUAGUCAUGUUAGUUCAAACCCCAGCGUCCAGGCUGCCCCUCACCACGGCCACCGUGGAGACGGCGGCCUCAUCAGACCAUCGGGCAAGGCAUUCAAAUCGGAUGUUUAGAAGACUAUAGGGGAUGGUAACAUCAGAGCCCGACUUGGGUGAGGGGGGAUACAUUGGCGUUGAUGGUUCUGAUCCGGGGGUAGAAGACCACCCCCCUAUCCCACCGCAUGCCCCAUGCUGCAGACUCAUGUAAGGCACUAGUACAAAAUGUGGAGCAGACGAGGACAGAGAGAGAUACAGAAUAGAUUAUACUUAGGAUAUAGAACACAGAAACACAGUCGGCCCAGGGCCCCUCCUCCUCGUGUGUGGGGGACGCGGCCUGCAAGGACGCUCCCAGCAGCCUAUCAGACGCCUUCCUCAGUGCAUAAGUGUCAUGGUGGCCGUCUCCGUGCGCUGCUGCCCUCGUCUAAAAGGACACAGCGCGAUCGCUAUUCAGGGGGGCCCUUCGGCGGGUUCGGUAUUGCUGUAGACGGUCUGGACGCGGGCGAGCGUCUGAACCAGGACAGAGCCAGGGAGGGAAUGUGUGGAGGGUAUUUAGUGCCUCAAAUCAUACCUGGCUCCUGUUGACAGGGCUGGAAGUAAAACAUUAGGACAAGCUAGGACAAACACGGUGCGGUAUGUAAACAGAUUCUCUCGAACACGCAUGAGGGGCCGACGGCCAAGGGGCGGG